UACGGGGGGAGCAAGCGUUGUUCGGAUUUACUGGGCGUAAAGGGCGCGUAGGCGGCCACCGCAAGUCGAUUGUGAAAUCUCCGGGCUUAACCCGGAAAGGUCAACCGAUACUGCGGGGCUAGAGUGCAGAAGGGGCAACUGGAAUUCUCGGUGUAGCGGUGAAAUGCGUAGAUAUCGAGAGGAACACCAGUGGCGAAGGCGACUACCUGGCCUGUUCUUGACGCUGAGGCGCGAAAGCGUGGGGAGCAAACAGG
rnacentral:rRNA from 1 species